rnacentral:rRNA from 1 species
AUUGAACGCUGGCGGCAGGCCUAACACAUGCAAGUCGAACGAGUGGCGGACGGGUGAGUAAUGUCUGGGAAACUGCCUGAUGGAGGGGGAUAACUACUGGAAACGGUAGCUAAUACCGCAUACCAUCGGAUGUGCCCAGAUGGGAUUAGCUAGUGGGUGGGGUAACGGCUCACCUAGGCGACGAUCCCUAGCUGGUCUGAGAGGAUGACCAGCAACACGGGAACUGGUACACGGCCCAGACCCCUACGGGAGGCAGCGUGGGGGAAUAUGGCACAAUGGGCGCAAGCCUGAUGCAGCCAUGCCGCGGGUAUGAAGAAGGCCUUCGGUUUGUAAAGUACUUUCAGCGGGGAGGCGUUACCCGCAGAAGAAGCACCGGCUAACUCCGUGCCAGCAGCCGCGGUAAUUC